rnacentral:rRNA from 1 species
AAGGCACCACCAGGCGUGGAGCCUGCGGCUUAAUUUGACUCAACACGGGCCAUCUUACCAGGCCAGCACUCUGGCAUGAUUGACAGAUUGAGAGCUCUUUCUCGAUUCAGUGGACGGUGGUGCAUGGCCGUUCUUAGUUGGUGGAGUGAUCUGUCUGGUUAAUUCCGAUAACGAACGAGACUCUCCUCUGCUAAAUAGUCGGCUGGAUCUUGAAUUGCUGAGUUGCUCAUUGCCACGUUCGCGUGCGCUUAGCUUCCUGUGGCGUGCUCUGGGGUCCCCGUUUGGGUGUGGGGUGUGAUCUUGGUCUUGUUGUGUGUUGGCUCACUUUGUGUGGGUUUUUCGCGCUCGAGGCCUUGUUAUGCCUUUUUCGUCCUGCGGGCCUGGAUGUUGCGUUCAGUGGGGCGGCGUGUUGUUGGGCGCGUGUCUUUGGCACUCCAAGUCCGUCGGCUCACACCCACGCAAGUGGGUUGUGUGGUGCAAGUUCUUCUUAGAGAGAUUGACGGCUCUGAAGCCGUACGA